CCUACGGGAGGCAGCAGUAGGGAAUCUUCCACAAUGGGCGAAAGCCUGAUGGAGCAACGCCGCGUGGGUGAAGAAGGUCUUCGGAUCGUAAAACCCUGUUGUUAGAGAAGAAAGUGCGUGAGAGUAACUGUUCACGUUUCGACGGUAUCUAACCAGAAAGCCACGGCUAACUACGUGCCAGCAGCCGCGGUAAUACGUAGGUGGCAAGCGUUAUCCGGAUUUAUUGGGCGUAAAGGGAACGCAGGCGGUCUUUUAAGUCUGAUGUGAAAGCCUUCGGCUUAACCGGAGUAGUGCAUUGGAAACUGGGGGACUGGAGUGCAGAAGAGGAGAGUGGAACUCCAUGGGUAGCGGUGAAAUGCGUAGAUAUAUGGAAGAACACCAGUGGCGAAAGCGGCUCUCUGGUCUGUAACUGAUGCUGAGGUUCGAAAGCGUGGGUAGCAAACAGGAUUAGAUACCCGAGUAGUC
rnacentral:rRNA from 1 species